GCAGGGAUGGUCGAGCGGUCAAAGGCGAUAGGUUGAGGGCCUAUUGGGUCAGUCCCUUCGCGGGUUCGAAUCCCGUUCCCUGCA
rnacentral:tRNA from 1 species